CUACGGGUUGCACCAGUGAGGAAUAUUGGUCAAUGGUCGAGAGACUGAACCAGCCAUGCCGCGUGCAGGAUGAAUGUUCUAUGAAUUGUAAACUGCUUUUAUACAGGAAGAAACCUACUUACGUGUAAGUAGCUGCCGGUACUGUAUGAAUAAGCAUCGGCUAACUCCGUGCCAGCAGCCGCGGUAAUACGGAGGAUGCAAGCGUUAUCCGGAUUCAUUGGGUUUAAAGGGUGCGUAGGCGGAUUAUUAAGUCAGUGGUGAAAUCCUGCGGCUCAACCGUAGAACUGCCAUUGAUACUGGUAAUCUUGAAUGUAGUUGAGGUAGGCGGAAUGUGUAAUGUAGCGGUGAAAUGCUUAGAUAUUACACAGAACACCGAUUGCGAAGGCAGCUUGCUAAACUAUGAUUGACGCUGAUGCACGAAAGCGUGGGGAGCGAACAGGAUUAGAUACCCGCGUAGUC
rnacentral:rRNA from 1 species